rnacentral:rRNA from 1 species
AGUUUGAUCCUGGCUCAGAACGAACGCUGGCGGCGUGGAUAAGACAUGCAAGUCGAACGGGGAAUUUUUGGAGCUUGCUUUGAAAAUUCCUAGUGGCGGACGAGCGAGUAACACGUGAUCAACCUGCCCGAAAGUGGGGGAUAGCCCGAGGAAACUCGGAUUAAUACCGCGUAUGCUCCUGCCAAGAUUAAAGGUGGCUUCGGCUGCCGCUUUCGGAUGGGCUCGCGGCCUAUCAACUUGUUGGUGAGGUAACGGCUCACCAAGGUUACGACGGGUAACUGGUCUGAGAGGAUGAUCAGUCGCGCUGGAACUGAGACACAGUCCAGACACCUACGGGUGGCAGCAGUCGAGAAUCAUUCACAAUGGGCGAAAGCCUGAUGGUGCGACGCCGCGUGGAGGAUGAAGGUCUUAGGACUGUAAACUCCUGUCAUCAGUGAGUAAGGCACGGGCGUUAAACCGUGGGGCUUGAUAGUAUCUGAAGAGGAAGGGACGGCUAACUUCGUUCCAGCAGCCGCGGUAAUACGAAGGUCCCAAGCGUUGUUCGGAAUUACUGGGCGUAAAGAGUGCGUAGGCGGCUAGGUAAGUCAGAUGUGAAAUCCCGGGGCUCAACCCCGGAACUGCAUACGAUACUGCCUGGCUAGAGUAGUGGAGGGGCAUCUGGAAUUCUCGGUGUAGCAGUGAAAUGCGUAGAUAUCGAGAGGAACACUCGUGGCGAAGGCGAGUCACUGGACAUUUACUGACGCUGAGGCACGAAGGCCAGGGUAGCGAAAGGGAUUAGAUACCCCUGUAGUCCUGGCAGUAAACGGUGCGCGCUUGGUGUGGGAGGAUUCGACCCCUUCCGUGCCGGAGCUAACGCGUUAAGCGCGCCGCCUGGGGAGUACGGCCGCAAGGCUAAAACUCAAAGAAAUUGACGGGGACCCGCACAAGCGGUGGAGUAUGUGGCUUAAUUCGAUGCAACGCGAAGAACCUUACCAGGGCUUGACAUGCAUCUCUAAGCGCGUGAAAGCGCGUGACCCUUCGGGGAAUUUGCACAGGUGCUGCAUGGCCGUCGUCAGCUCGUGUCGUGAGAUGUUGGGUUAAGUCCCGCAACGAGCGCAACCCCUGUGAAUAUUUGCCAGCACGUAUGGUGGGGACUCUGUUCAGACUGCCCAGAUCAACUGGGAGGAAGGUGGGGACGACGUCAAGUCAGUAUGGCCCUUACGUCUGGGGCUGCACACGUACUACAAUGCCCAGUACAAUGAGAACCGAAACCGCGAGGUGGAGGAAAUCUGUAAAACUGGGCCCAGUUCGGAUUGGAGGCUGCAACUCGCCUCCAUGAAGCCGGAAUCGCUAGUAAUGGUACAUCAGCAACGGUACCGUGAAUACGUUCCCGGGUCUUGUACACACCGCCCGUCACAUCAUGGAAGCCGGUCGCGCCCGAAGUACAUGCGCUAACUUUCUGGUGAAGCUGGUAACUGGGAUGAAGUCGUAACAAGGUAACC